GAGUUUGAUCCUGGCUCAGGACGAAGCGGCGGCGUGCUUAACACAUGCAAGUCGAACGGAGCUGUUUAUUUCGGUAGAUAGCUUAGUGGCAAACGGGUGAGUAACGCGUAGGCAACCUGCCCUUAGGAUGGGGACAACGGCCCGAAAGGACCGCUAAUACCGAAUGGACUCUAACUUUCGCAUGGAAGAAAGAGAAAAGAUGGUGCAAGCCAUCGCCGAAGGAAGGGCCUGCGUCUGAUUAGCCAGUUGGUGAGGUAACGGCUCACCAAAGCGACGAUCAGUAGCCGGUCUGAGAGGAUGAACGGCCACAAUGGGACUGAGACACGGCCCAUACUCCUACGGGAGGCAGCAGUGGGGAAUCUUCCGCAAUGGGCGAAAGCCUGACGGAGCAACGCCGCGUGAGUGAAGAAGGUCUUCGGAUCGUAAAGCUCUGUUGUUGGGGACGAAAGAAAAGGGGAGGAAAUGCCCUUUUUAAGACGGUACCCGACGAGCAAGCCACGGUUAACUACGUGCCAGUU
rnacentral:rRNA from 1 species